GAGGCAAUGAAGUACUACUCAGCUCCAAGCUACUACACUACCAUUUACGCCGCUCCCAGUUACCACACUACCACUUACGCCGCUCCCAGUUACUACACUACCACUUACGCCGCUCCCAGUUACUACACAGAGGCUCCAGCUUAGUACAAAAACAACGUGCGCUACUCCCCGCUAUUACCCUGAGCCAUUGAAGUGCCGAGAGAAAGGCCAAUACCAGCUGUCGUUCAGGCCAGACAAAUACAUCCAGACGGUCGAGCAAGGCAUGGUGAUUAUGGGCGUGACGGAACAAGAAGCCGGCCGAUAUGACUGCCGGUUAGGAGCGGACACGCUGUGCAGUUAUAAUAUCACGGUCGAUACGCAGCGAUGCGCUGCCCCCAGCAAAUCACACGAUUAUCAGAAGGUUUACUCCGACUGGUGUCACGAAUUUGAGAAAUACAAAAUGGCCAUGAAGACGUGGGAGAGAAGGCAGCUGCAAUGUAACAGUCGGCAAACGAACGAUACAGCCAGCAGCAAUCAGAAUGCUCAUCCCAACGAGAUCUAUCCACGGAGUCCUUUGGUCUGAACAAGUUCCAAUAAAA